UACCUUUAACAGUUAUGCCUGAAGCCUGGGUGACCUGUAGUCCAACGAUAAUGGGAAUGGGGAUGAGUUAACUCAGGGUCAAAGGAAAUUACCAAAAAAGAAAAACAUAGAAGUGGUAUAUCUGGGAAGGCAGGCCUCCGUUGCCUUGGACUCUGUGAGAGUGGUUGCCAUGGCACCAGCAGUCAACAGGCUUCUUGUGACCCCUCAGAGCCAGUAGGUCUCAAAUGAACUUGGCUCUUGGAUAUGAGCACAUGCUUGAAAUGAGGGGAGGGUGAGAAGGCAGACCUGAGAGGGCGUGUCUAUGCCAUAGGGAGAAAAAAACACUCAAAGAGAAGCCUGCUCCAGACUCAGAAAAGCCAGACCAUUGCACUUUCUGUCCACAUGGCUUCCAAGGCAGAAACCAAGCUUCCAUAUGCCUAUGACAGUUCUUUCCAGAAAAUCCUUCAGUUUCCUCAGAAACCCAGAUUCCCAGGACCUGGUAUAGAUGCACCAACAGGGCAAAGAUCUGGCUUGUGAGAAGUUUCUUUUUGUAAAGUGACUAACCAUACUUCUUCACACUUGUCUCUGUGUGGGUGGGCACCCUGUCCUGGUCCUGGUCAGUUUAAACAAGGGAAGAUCUUGGUGCUCACUCAUCCCAGGUUUCUAAGGCACUUUCUUCUGAUCAUCAUCAUUGAUAAAGAUUUCUGGACCAGUAUUUACUCAUUGCUCAUGGAAUAAUCCAGGCUCCAGAUAUCACUGUUUCCCUGGGUUGAAUACCAGUUGGCUGCACAGUGGUACUGUGGUGAUUCUAUGGAACAACGGCUGCUCCGGCUACUGCCUGUACAAGCUCAAAAGAGGAAGCGAGGACAUCAGCCAUCAUCCUAUUCCAGCAUGACCUCAUCUGAACUUCACAAAUUACAACGGGUUAUUCCAGUGCAAGUAUCCAAUGUAAUCAGAUUCGCUUUCUGCAGCAUAUCCAAGAACAAAGUAUGAACACCACUAAAUCAAUAAAAAGGGCUGUGUGGCGUUGACAUCUGAAAAGUAAUUGAAAGAUCAAGUGUGCCCUGUGAGCAGGUGAGUGGGAAGACAGCAUCUGGCUCCACACACUACUCAAGCACAACCCAGAGGGAGAGAGCAUCUGUGACAUUAUGGCUCCUUUUUGGAGACAACUCUGAAGUAGGCUAUAAUUCAUUUAGCUGAGUAGUUGGAGACUCGGAAGCAGCAAGAUUAGAAAACUGGAGAGAAAGACACCCAGAGAACAAACGGCAUGACUGAACUGGUCUUAGGGAUCGAGCGAAGGACAGAACCUGAGGUUGAACUUGAGCCUGCAGACUCUGUUCUUUGAGGACAUCAGAGUAUAUACAACACACAGGCCUUCAUCCUCUACCUGCUGCAGGCUCACUACGAAGCUGGCAGAUUCUGAAAAUUCUUGAUCAUCGACAAAGCUGUAUCCAUCAGGGUCCUGUUCUGUUGUCACUAGCUACUGGG
rnacentral:lncRNA from 1 species